CAGCCGCCGCGGGAAUACGAAGGGGGCUAGCGUUGCUCGGAAUGACUGGGCGUAAAGCGCACGUAGGCGGCUUGGUAAGUUAGAGGUGAAAGCCUGGAGCUCAACUCCAGAAUCGCCUUUAAGACUGCCGAGCUAGCAGGUGAGAGAGGUAAGUGGAAUUCCGAGUGUAGAGGUGAAAUUCGUAGAUAUUCGGAAGAACACCAGUGGCGAAGGCGGCUCACUGGCUCAUUCUAGACGCUGAGGUGCGAAAGCGUGGGGAGCAAACAGGAUUAGAUACCCCCGUAGUCCCUGUCUCUUAUAC
rnacentral:rRNA from 1 species